rnacentral:rRNA from 1 species
AGAAUCAACGCUGGCGGCGUGCCUAACACAUGCAAGUCGAACGAGAAAGUGGAGCAAUCCACAAGUAAAGUGGCGCACGGGUGAGUAACACGUGACUAACCUACCCUUGAGUGGGGGAUAACCUAGAGAAAUCUGGGCUAAUACCGCAUAAUACCUUCGGGUCAAAGGAGCAAUUCGCUUAAGGAGGGGGUCGCGGCCGAUUAGUUAGUUGGCGGAGUAAUGGCCCACCAAGACUAUGAUCGGUA